AUACUGACCUGGCAGGGAAGACAGCGUGAUCAGGAAGCAAGGUGAUUUUCCCAGGAUGAGGCUUAUCCACUACUCUCCGGGUGUAUUAACUCUUAGGAUUUCCUCAAAUGUGGCAAACGACACUGCAUAAUUCAUGGUAGCAGGGGACUGAGUUCAUGCUCUCCCUUG